rnacentral:misc_RNA from 1 species
AAGUCGUAACAAGGUUUCCGUAGGUGAACCUGCGGAAGGAUCAUUAACACUUUUAUCCAAUACAAAAACUAAACGUGAACUUUUCCCCUCCCUAUAUCAAGACUUUUGUAUUGAUAUAGGCUAACCUUUUAUUUUAUUUAAACCCACCUUAAAUUUUUAUAAGUCUUUUGUAACGGAAGACUGACUAACUAAAAAUUUUACUUAAGAUGUCACAUGUUGAUCUCUUAAUUAAUAUUUUUUCUUUACGAAAUAAAUAUUAGUAUAUAAGAACAACUCUUAGCAAUGGAUAUCUUGGUUCUC